rnacentral:lncRNA from 1 species
UUCAUACAUAUCCAAUCUUCAUAUUAUGCUUCAUCCACAUAUUAUAUUUGAUUCUUAUACAUUCCAAAUUUCUCUAAUUGAUUAAUGAUGCUAAAUUGAUGCCUCCAAAAGGAUGGAAAAAUGAUGUUCAAGAAAAUGCUUUCUAACAUUGCAAUUUAUACUAAGAUUUUUAUACCAAAUUAUAUUUUUUCUUCUAAAACUUUUUUUUUCUUUGUCUUGAAUCUCUUUAAAUUAAUCUUCUCCUAAUAAUUAAGAUUUUGGCACUCUAAGUGCACCUUUUGUUUUAAAACAAUCAAUGAAUAAAUUUCAUCACUUAUACAAAUCUUUUCAUAAACUAUACAAAUUUCCAUCCUACAAAAUGAAUUUAUAAUUCUAAAACUAAACCAACAAUCUUAAAUAAUCCUAAAACCAUCAUUUAAUUUCUAUGUAUAUUAUGAUAAUUUCAUUUCAAUCUACAACUUUAAUGUAAAAAUUAAUAAUCUCAAAUCAAAAUCCCUAAUCUAAAAUGACUUGUAUCUAAAAAAAUCUACCUAACAAACUUUUAUAUACAACUCAAAUAAUCUAUCAACAAUAAUAUACAAAUAAUAUGCAUAGUAUUGGCCAUCCUAACACAAAGUGAAUUAAAGGCACCCACCUUCUUAAUUGAAAAGAAAAACCCACUCAAGUUCCAAAAAGCAUCCAAUCAAACUAUAUCUUUCAUGUAAUUAACAAACAUCCUUGUUGAAAAUCUCAUAAAGAUAACUUUAGAAAAUUCUUUUUUGAAACUUCCAUCAAGGCAAUCUUUCACCUUACCAAUACCAAUCUCCCAUGGUCUUUUCUCAUGGAGACAUAAAAUCAUUGCAUUGUUACAAUAGGGCAACAUGUGCCACAAGCAAGGGAUAGUGUGAUUGUACACAUUACAAUCUUUCCAGCAAAUCUCAAUUGCAAAAUUAGCACCAAAGAGUGAUUGGUCACCAACUCAGCCAAACGAUUGGAUUGCACUCAUUAGAAACCUCGGGAAUACCAGCAAGAAAAUAAGUGAGAUACAACAUCUCACAACGGCCAACAUCACAGCAAAACAAAAUUCCCUCCAACUAACGCACGCUCUCAAACCCCGCCAACGUAGAGCAGAAAGGCUCGCAACCACCACUACGAAGAUAUAGCAUAAAAUUCUCAUGAGAAUAAAUCCUAGAACUGCCCUAAAAGUUUACACGAUAAAACAAACGCUUCACUCAAGCACUCUCGUUCCUAGAACUACACUAAGCCUAGUCGCAGCAAUAUUCUGAACAAGGACUAAAUUAUCAUACAACAAUAUCAAGGGUAUUACCACAAACCAACCAAAGUGAGCAUAACAAAGUACACAAGUCACUUUUGAGAAC